CAGCGCUGAGGCAGUGUGAAGCCGGAGCUGGGGCUGGAGCUGUCCGGAGCUGGGUGUGCCUGAAGGGUAUGAGAAGGAAACGACCUACAACUUCCUGCUCUGUGCAGCUGGAAAGACAGUGCCUCAACCAAUGUCCCUGAAGCUCCCAGAGAACGUGGUGCAGGGCUCGGCCAGAGCCUAUUUCUCAGUGCUGGG